rnacentral:rRNA from 1 species
UACGAAGGGGGCUAGCGUUGUUCGGAAUCACUGGGCGUAAAGCGCACGUAGGCGGACUUUCAAGUCAGGGGUGAAAUCCCGGGGCUCAACCUCGGAAUUGCCUUUGAUACUGUAGGUCUCGAGUCCGGAAGAGGUAGGUGGAAUUCCUAGUGUAGAGGUGAAAUUCGUAGAUAUUAGGAAGAACACCGGUGGCGAAGGCGGCCCACUGGUCCGGUACUGACGCUGAGGUGCGAAAGCGUGGGGAGCAAACAGG